rnacentral:rRNA from 1 species
AGUGAACGCUGGCGGUAGGCCUAACACAUGCAAGUCGAACGGCAGCACAGUAAGAGCCUGCUCUUACGGGUGGCGAGUGGCGGACGGGUGAGGAAUACAUCGGAAUCUACUUUUUCGUGGGGGAUAACGUAGGGAAACUUACGCUAAUACCGCAUACGACCUACGGGUGAAAGCAGGGGAUCUUCGGACCUUGCGCGAUUGAAUGAGCCGAUGUCGGAUUAGCUAGUUGGCGGGGUAAAGGCCCACCAAGGCGACGAUCCGUAGCUGGUCUGAGAGGAUGAUCAGCCACACUGGAACUGAGACACGGUCCAGACUCCUACGGGAGGCAGCAGUGGGGAAUAUUGGACAAUGGGCGCAAGCCUGAUCCAGCCAUACCGCGUGGGUGAAGAAGGCCUUCGGGUUGUAAAGCCCUUUUGUUGGGAAAGAAAAGCAGCAGGUUAAUACCCCGCUGUUCUGACGGGACCCAAAGAAUAAGCACCGGCUAACUUCG